AUUGAACGCUGGCGGCAGGCCUAACACAUGCAAGUCGAACGCGUGGAGCACGGGUGAGAAAUGUCUGGGACACUCCCUGAUGGAGGGGGAAAACUACUGGAAACGGUCGCAAACCCCGCAUACCAUCGGGAGGGCAUAGAUGGGAUUAGCUUGUAGGAGGGGUAACGGCUCACCUAGGCGAAGACCCCUAUCGGGUCUGAGAGGAUGACCAGCCACACUGGAACUGGGACACGGUCCAGACUCCUACGGGAGGCAGCAGUGGGGAAUAUUGCACAAUGGGCGCAAGCCUGAUGCAUCCAUGCCGCGUGUAUGAAGAAGGCCUUCGGGUUGUAAAGUACUUUCAGCGGGGAGGCGUUACCCGCAGAAGAAGCACCGGCUAACUCCGUGCCAGCAGCCGCGGUAAUUC
rnacentral:rRNA from 1 species